AUUGAACGCUGGCGGCAGGCCUAACACAUGCAAGUCGAGCGAGCGGCGGACGGGUGAGUAAUGUUUGGGAAACUGCCUGUGGGAGGGGGAUAACUACUGGAAAAGGUAGCUAAUACCGCACACACUACGAUGUGUCCAGAUGGGAUUGGCUAGUAGGUGGGGUAACGGCUCACCUAGGCGACGAUCCCUAGCUGGCCUGAGAGGAUGACCAGCCACACUGGAACUGAGACACGGUCCAGACUCCGACGGGAGGCAGCAGUGGGGAAUAUUGCACAAUGGGCGCAAGCCUGAUGCAGCCAUGCCGCGUGUGUGAAGAAGGUCUUCGGGUUGUAAAGCACUUUCAGCGGGGAGGCGUUACCCGCAGAAGAAGCACCGGCUAACUCCGUGCCAGCAGCCGCGGUAAUAC
rnacentral:rRNA from 1 species